UACGAGUGCCCCGAGCGUUAUCCGGAAUCAUUGGGCGUAAAGGGUGUGUAGGCGGCAGUGUUAGUCUAUUGUUAAAACCUGGGGCUUAACCCCAGAUGUGCGAUAGAUACGGCACAGCUAGAGGAUGGCAGGGAUGUAUGGAACUCAUGGAGUAGGGGUGAAAUCCGUUGAUAUCAUGGGGAACACCAAAAGCGAAGGCAGUACAUUGGGCCACUCCUGACACUGAAACACGAAAGCGUGGGUAGCGAAUGGG
rnacentral:rRNA from 1 species